GCUGUCACGAUUCGGGGAACCCAACACGCUGGCACACACACACACACACAAAAGGUGCCGUACCGGACCUUAGAGUGGCCGGGCUAAGCACACACAGAAUAGUCAGGAAACAAGCCGAGUAAGGGGAACCAGAAGACAGAAUAACGUGAAACGAGCCGAGGUCAAAGGGUAGGAGAAAGUCACAAAGUCGGAUAAACAAGCCAGAGA